rnacentral:RNase_P_RNA from 1 species
CGAGUCGGUCGGAUGAUCGCGGGCAGCAAUGUUCGAGGAAAGUCCGGACUCCAUAGGGCAAGAGUGGUGGAUAACGUCCACCUGGGGCGACCCACGGGAAAGUGCAACAGAAAGUAAACCGCCUAGCAAUAGGUAAGG